AUCUUUGCGCUUGGGGCAAUGACGCAGUUCAUGAGGUGAAACCGCGUCAAUUGCUGGUUGAAAACUAUUUCCAUAAACCCAAAAUGUUCUGUGGAUUGAAUUUAAGUAAAAUGCGUGCUU
rnacentral:snRNA from 1 species